UACGUAGGGGGCGAGCGUUGUCCGGAUUUAUUGGGCGUAAAGAGCGCGUAGGCGGUCCGAUAAGUCGGCUGUGAAAGUCAGGGGCUCAACCCUUGGAAGCCGGCCGAUACUGUCGGACUAGAGUCCGGAAGAGGCGAGUGGAAUUCCCGGUGUAGCGGUGAAAUGCGCAGAUAUCGGGAGGAACACCAAUGGCGAAGGCAGCUCGCUGGGACGGUACUGACGCUGAGGCGCGAAAGCGUGGGGAGCAAACAGG
rnacentral:rRNA from 1 species